rnacentral:rRNA from 1 species
CUCAGUUCAGAUCGUAGGCUGCAACUCGCCUACGUGAAGGAGGAAUCGCUAGUAAUCGCAGGUCAGCAUACUGCGGUGAAUACGUUCCCGGGCCUUGUACACACCGCCCGUCACACCAUGGAAGUUGGCCACGCCCGAAGCCGUUACUCCAACCCUUGUGGAGGAGGACGUCGAAGGUGGGGCUGAUGACUGGGGUGAAGUCGUAACAAGGUAGCCGUACCGGAAGGUGCGGCUGGAUCACCUCCUAA